UACGUAGGGUGCAAGCGUUGUCCGGAAUUAUUGGGCGUAAAGAGCUCGUAGGCGGUUUGUCGCGUCUGCUGUGAAAUCCCAGGGCUUAACCCUGGGCCUGCAGUGGGUACGGGCAAACUAGAGUGCGGUAGGGGAGAUCGGAAUUCCUGGUGUAGCGGUGAAAUGCGUAGAUAUCAGGAGGAACACCCAUAGCGAAGGCAGCUUGCUGGGACGUUACUGACGCUAAGGCGCGAAAGCGUGGGGAGCAAACAGG
rnacentral:rRNA from 1 species